rnacentral:rRNA from 1 species
UAACGCCUACGGGGCGCAGCAGUGGGGAAUAUUGGGCGAUGGAGGAAACUCUUACCCAGCAAUGCCGCGUGAGUGAAGAAGGUCUUCGGAUUGUAAAGCUCUUUGAUUGGGGAUGAAUAAAUGACGGUACCCAAAGAACAAGCCCCGGCUAACUACGUGCCAGCAGCCGCGGUAAUACGUAGGGGGCAAGCGUUGUCCGGAAUGACUGGGCGUAAAGGGUGUGUAGGCGGUUUAUUAAGUUAGAAGUGAAAUACCUAGGGCUUAACCCAGGUGCUGCUUCUAAAACUGAUAGACUUUAGUG